rnacentral:rRNA from 1 species
GAUGAACGCUGGCGGCGUGCCUAAUACAUGCAAGUCGAGCGAACGGACGAGAAGCUUGCUUCUCUGAUGUUAGCGGCGGACGGGUGAGUAACACGUGGAUAACCUACCUAUAAGACUGGGAUAACUUCGGGAAACCGGAGCUAAUACCGGAUAAUAUUUUGAACCGCAUGGUUCAAAAGUGAAAGACGGUCUUGCUGUCACUUAUAGAUGGAUCCGCGCUGCAUUAGCUAGUUGGUAAGGUAACGGCUUACCAAGGCAACGAUGCAUAGCCGACCUGAGAGGGUGAUCGGACACACUAGAACUGAGACACGGUCCAGACUCCUACGGGAGGCAGCAGUAGGGAAUCUUCCGCAAUGGGCGAAAGCCUGACGGAGCAACGCCGCGUGAGUGAUGAAGGUCUUCGGAUCGUAAAACUCUGUUAUUAGGGAAGAACAUAUGUGUAAGUAACUGUGCACAUCUUGACGGUACCUAAUCAGAAAGCCACGGCUAACUACGUG